CCGAACGGCAGAAGUGGUGAUGGGCGCGUAUUUUCCGCCGGGCACUUGGCCGGCGUACUUGUGCGCGUCCGUAGGUCAGCGUGGGUUGGGGCGCGGGAGUCGUUCAUGGGAAGGUC
rnacentral:rRNA from 1 species